AUACGAUCAUUAUCUGUCUGCUACCAACAGGGUACUGACAGAUGUCUUUAUUCCUCUUAAAGAUAGGAGAUUAUCUGUGGACUUUUCAGCUGCAAUUGACUGGUCCUUGAUUUUUGCUGCAAACGACUAUCCUUUGACUUUCUAUCACCAGCUGAUGUUUGCUUGCACUCAGACUGUCCAUCUAGUUAAAUACUCCAUAUGAAUUGAGGCUCUUCAGUGCCCAUGUUAUUGUCUUACUUAAUUCCCCUGUAUUCACCUUGAUUUUAUUACGCUUCAAGUCCUGUCAGUUGAACUUGGAUUUCAAUAUCCACCCUGAGGGGGUUUUUCCUUGACUGGCUGUGCAUGAAGCUAGGAGUAAUCUAGAGAGACGAUCUUGUCAUAAUUCCCCUGAAGAAGCCAAGAGGCGAAACUAGUAGGGUCGACCUGAUCGAAAAAAUUAUUUCUAGAUCUUGCUCCCACAAAAUAAUUUAUGCACUAUUUGUAUAUUGAAUUACUAUAUUUUGUAAAAAUUGAAUGAAUAAACCUUUUUCAUAUAUUUUUAUAUAUACAUACACAC